rnacentral:rRNA from 1 species
GCGACAUCAGUCAAGCGAGACUA